UGAGUACGAGAUGCUACGGCAUCGAACCAGUCUAUGUCAUACUUCCAAGAAAAGCUUGCACUGUCAUAAACAAAGAAUGCCUGUACCAUAACCGACACAGGUGGGUAGGUAGAGUAUACUAAGGGGCGCGAGAUAACUCUCUCUAAGGAACUCGGCAAAAUGACUCCGUAACUUCGGGAGAAGGAGUGCCUUAUUUCUAAGGUUGCAAUAACAAGAUCCAAGCAACUGUUUACCAAAAACACAGGUCUCCGCUAAGUCGUAAGACGAUGUAUGGGGGCUGACGCCAGCCCAGUGCCAGAAGGUUAAAGAAGUUGGUUAGCAUUAGCGAAGCUGAUAACUGAAGCCCUGGUGAACGGCGGCCGUAACGAUAACGGUCCUAAGGUAGCGAAAUUCCUUGUCGGGUAAGUUCCGACCCGCACGAAAGGCGUAAUGAUUUGGAUACUGUCUCGGAGAGGGGCUCGGUGAAAUAGACUUGUCUGUGAAGAUGCGGACUACCUGCACCUGGACAGAAAGACCCUAUGAAGCUUUACUGUAACUUGAGAUUGAAAUUGGACUUUAUUUGCGCAGUAUAGGUGGGAGGCGUUGAGAAUAAUCUUGCGGGAUUGUUGGAGCCAUCAGUGAGAUACCACUCUUGUAAUGUUAGAUUUCUAACUUUGUAUCAUUAUCUGGUCAAAGAACAGUUUCAGGCGGGCAGUUUGACUGGGGCGGUCGCCUCCCAAAGGGUAACGGAGGCGCACAAAGGUUUCCUCUGAACGGGUAGAAAUCGUAUCUAGAGUGUAAAGGCAUAAGGAAGCUUGACUGUGAGACCUACAAGUCGAGCAGGGACGAAAGUCGGUCUUAGUGAUCUGACGGUGCUGAGUGGAAAGGCCGUCACUCAACGGAUAAAAGUUACUCUAGGAUAACAGGCUGAUCUCCCCCAAGAGUUCACAUCGACGGGGAGGUUUGGCACCUCGAUGUCGGCUCAUCGCAUCCUGGGGCGGUAGUCCGUCCCAAGGGUUGGGCUGUUCGCCCAUGAAAGCGGUACGCGAGCUGGGUUCAGAACGUCGUGAGACAGUUCGGUCCAUAUCCGGUGUAGGCGUUAGAAUAUUGAGAGGAGCCUUCUCUAGUACGAGAGGACCGAGAAGGACAUACCUCUGGUGUACCAGUUAUCGUGCCAACGGUAAACGCUGGGUAGCUAUGUAUGGAGUGGAUAACCGCUGAAAGCAUCUAAGUGGGAAGCCCACCUCAAGAUAAGUAUUCUCAUC
rnacentral:rRNA from 1 species